rnacentral:rRNA from 1 species
UACAGAGGGGGCAAGCGUUAUUCGGAAUUAUUGGGCGUAAAGGGCGCGUAGGCGGCUUUGCAAGUGACGGGUGAAAUCCCUCAGCUUAACUGGGGAACUGCGUCUGAGACUGGCAAGCUUGAGUGCAGGAGAGGAACGCGGAAUUCCAGGUGUAGCGGUGAAAUGCGUAGAUAUCUGGAGGAACACCGGUGGCGAAGGCGGCGUUCUGGACUGUAACUGACACUGAUGAACGAAAGCCAGGGGAGCAAACGGG